rnacentral:rRNA from 1 species
UCGCAAGACGUCAGUGGCAGACGGGUGAGUAACGCGUGGGAACAUACCCUCCGGUUCGGAAUAACUCAGGGAAACUUGAGCUAAUACCGGAUCCGCCCCCGGACUUGAUCCGGGGGGAAAGAUUUAUCGCCGGAGGAUUGGCCCGCGUUCGAUUAGCUUGUUGGUGAGGUAACGGCUCACCAAGGCGACGAUCGAUAGCUGGUCUGAGAGGAUGAUCAGCCACAUUGGGACUGAGACACGGCCCAAACUCCUACGGGAGGCAGCAGUGGGGAAUAUUGGACAAUGGGCGCAAGCCUGAUCCAGCCAUGCCGCGUGAGUGAUGACGGCCUUAGGG